UGAGGAAUCUUCCACAAUGGGCGAAAGCCUGAUGGAGCAACGCCGCGUGCAGGAUGAAGGCCCUCGGGUCGUAAACUGCUUUUAUAAGUGAAGAAUAUGACGGUAACUUAUGAAUAAGCACCGGCUAACUACGUGCCAGCAGCCGCGGUCAUACGUAGGGUGCAAGCAUUAUCCGGAGUGACUGGGCGUAAAGAGUUGCGUAGGUGGACAAGUAAGCGAAUAGUGAAAUCCGACGGCUCAACCGUAUGGACUAUUACUCGAACUGCUUGUCUCGAGAAUGGUAGAGGUAACUGGAAUUUCUAGUGUAGGAGUGAAAUCCGUAGAUAUUAGAAGGAACACCAAUGGCGUAGGCAGGUUACUGGACCAUUUCUGACACUGAGGCACGAAAGCGUGGGGAGCGAACCGG
rnacentral:rRNA from 1 species